GACGAACGCUGGCGGCGUGCCUAAUACAUGCAAGUUGAGCGCUGAAGGUUGGUACUUGUACCAACUGGAUGAGCAGCGAACGGGUGAGUAACGCGUGGGGAAUCUGCCUUUGAGCGGGGGACAACAUUUGGAAACGAAUGCUAAUACCGCAUAAAAACUUUAAACACAAGUUUUAAGUUUGAAAGAUGCAAUUGCAUCACUCAAAGAUGAUCCCGCGUUGUAUUAGCUAGUUGGUGAGGUAAAGGCUCACCAAGGCGAUGAUACAUAGCCGACCUGAGAGGGUGAUCGGCCACAUUGGGACUGAGACACGGCCCAAACUCCUACGGGAGGCAGCAGUAGGGAAUCUUCGGCAAUGGACGAAAGUCUGACCGAGCAACGCCGCGGGAGUGAAGAAGGUUGUCGGAUCGUAAAACUCUGUUGGUAGAGAGGAACGUUGGUGAGAGUGGAAAGCUCAUCAAGUGACGGUAACUACCCAGAAAGGGACGGCUAACUACGUG
rnacentral:rRNA from 1 species